rnacentral:rRNA from 1 species
UUCCUCCUAGUUUAGAAGGUAAGGCCUGCUCACUGAGAAUUUAAAGAGCCGCAGUAUCCUAACUGUGCUAAGGUAGCAUAAUCAUUAGUCUUUUAAUUGGGGACUGGUAUGAAUGGCUAAACGAGAGAUUGACUUUUUUUGUUAUUAAAAUCGAAUUUAAUUUUUUAGUGAAAAAGCUAAAAUUUUUCAGAAAGACGAGAAGACCCUAUAGAGUUUUAUAUCAAAAAAAAUUUUUUCUUAAUAGAUUUAAAAAGAGUAAAUUUUUUUAGAUAUUUUGUUGGGGCGACAUUAAGAUAUAAGAAACUCUUUAUUUUUUUAAUUUUAAUUAAAAGAAAGUUUGAUCCUUUAAAAAAGACCAAAAGAAAAAAUUACCUUAGGGAUAACAGCGUAAUCUUUUUUGAGAGUUCUAAUCGACAAAAAGGUUUGCGACCUCGAUGUUGGACUAAAAUUUAGGCAGGGUGCAGCAGUUCUGCUUUAAGGUCUGUUCGACCUAUAAUAUUUUACAUGAUCUGAGUUCAGACCGGCGUAAG